rnacentral:rRNA from 1 species
CCGUAAACGAUGUCGAUUUGGAGGUUGUGCCCUUGAGGCGUGGCUUCCGGAGCUAACGCGUUAAAUCGACCGCCUGGGGAGUACGGCCGCAAGGUUAAAACUCAAAUGAAUUGACGGGGGCCCGCACAAGCGGUGGAGCAUGUGGUUUAAUUCGAUGCAACGCGAAGAACCUUACCUGGUCUUGACAUCCACAGAACUUUCCAGAGAUGGA